GUCGCUGUGUGGCGGUUGGUUGCCGCGGCAACGGCACGAGGCGGCGGCCGCUGAGGGGGAGGUGGGCGCCAUUACGGUCGGUUGCACCGGCGUGAGCGGGCCCGGGCAGGAUUUUGAGAUGUUAUUCCAAGCAACUGAAAAUGAAGAAGUCUCCCAAGUUCCUGAAGGUGUCUUCAAUAGACAAACCUGUGAGAGAAGGAAUUACUGUAUAUAGGACCAAUUUUGAUACUUCACAAAUGCAACACACUAAAUAUAUGUAUUUUGCAUACUGGAACACUCGGAGUACUCAGUACUUACUGCGACACAGUGCUCACCUCCUGUAGUAAGACGGUGAUUUCUACUUCACCUUAAGUUUACUUUCAGAAUCCUUUUGCAUUUCCCAAAGUUCUUCCAAAAGUUUACCAAUACAGUUAAAAAUUGUUAAUAAUAAACGUUUCAAAAUUA